AUCCAGCUGACGAGUCACAAAUAGGACGAAACACGCGUUCUAGAU
rfam:Schistosoma haematobium scaffold692_2, whole genome shotgun sequence.